rnacentral:rRNA from 1 species
AUGCCUAACACAUGCAAGUCGAACGCGAAAGGGUCCUUCGGGAUCUGAGUAGAGUGGCGUCCGGGUGAGUAACGCGUAGGUCAUCUACCUUCGGGUGGGGAAUAACUCAGGGAAACUUGAGCUAAUACCGCAUAACAUCGAAAGAUCAAAGCGGGGUCGCAAGGCCUCGUGCCUGAAGAGGAGCCUGCGUCUGAUUAGCUAGUUGGUAAGGUAAUGGCUUACCAAGGCUUCGAUCAGUAGCUGGUCUGAGAGGACGGCCAGCCACAUUGGCACUGAAACACGGGCCAA